GAUGAAGAACGCAGCGAAAUGCGAUACUUGGUGUGAAUUGCAGAAUCCCGUGAACCAUCGAGUCUUUGAACGCAAGUUGCGCCCGAAGCCAUUUGGUUGAGGGCACGUCUGCCUGGGCGUCACAUAUCGUUGCCCGAUGCCUAUUGCACUGUGAUAGGAAAUUCUAGGGCGAAAGAUGGCUUCCCGUGAGCGUUGUUGCCUCGCGGUUGGUUUAAAAUUGAGUCCUUGGUAGGGUGUGCCAUGAUAGAUGGUGGUCGAGUUUGCACGAGACCGAUCAUGUGUGCGCUCCCCAAAAUAUGGACUCUUUGACCCCACACGCGUCUUUUGACGCUCAUGACGAGACCUCAGGUCAGGCGGGGCUACCCGCUGAGUUUAAGCAUAUCAAUAAGCGGAGGA
rnacentral:misc_RNA from 1 species